rnacentral:rRNA from 1 species
GGGGCUUAAAAAUCCUCCGACCUUUUUGGAAAAAAAUCAAUUUUUAAAAAAAAAAACCAAUGGCCUCCGGGCCCAGAUUAAUGAGAAUAACAACUCUAAUAAUCGGACGGCCUGCCGCCGGCGGUCCAUCAAAAUUAUUUCCCCCCCAUCUUCUUUCGGUGGGAGGAUGGCGGCCCACGAUGUUUUUAGCGAACAAGGAGGAAGGGUGGUUCCCUUCCGGGGAGGCAGCCUAAAAAACUCCCCCCCCCUCGGAGGGAGGCAGGCGGCCCAAUAACCCCCCCCUACCCCCGGGGGGAGGUGGCAACAAAAAAUAAUCAUGGGCCCCCCUUGCUGUUGUAGUUGGAGGAAUGACAACGAAAUAACUUCACCAACGAGAAACUGUUGGGGGGGACGUGUGCCGCCACCCGCGGCAAUACCUCCCCCUCCAACAACUUUUAAAAUAGUUGUUGCAAAAAAAAAGCUAGUAAAACAACUGUGCGGCUGGGCGGCUGGGCCUUUUUCUGGUGUGGUUUCUCCACCGGACCCUCGUCGUCGACCUACCGUCAAACUACUGGGGUUCUUGGCGAACCGUGGUUUGCAAUUAGAAAAAUUACCUGGGAAAAAUUAGAGUGUUUAGUGCAGGUAUUUUUUGCUGAAAUACAUAAAACAGGGAAAUAGGAAAUAUGACGUGGGGUUUCUAUGUAGCUCGUAUCUAAGACACGCCAUAAUGAUGAGGACGGAUAGUCCCCGGGCCUCACAUGUCAAUCUCUAGGAGUUAAAGAAUAGGAUUUAUUGCAAAACUAUCUACCACGGGAGGUUUUGUUUUGUAUGUAUUCAAUUAGCGGGGAGCGAAGUGGGGGGACCGCAGCCGUCCCCUUCCCCUCAUACUUCUCCACCCUAGACUCGGCGGAGUUGUGUUUCUGGGGAAUCUCUUCGUUCCUCUCCUCGGAUCACCACAUUAAUUAGUAUUCUAAGGCGUAGGAGUGCCGCCGGGAUUAAUAUCUUAAAGGAUUAAACAAAG